GACGAACGCUGGCGGCGUGCUUAACACAUGCAAGUCGAACGGAAAGGCCCUGCUUUUGUGGGGUGCUCGAGUGGCGAACGGGUGAGUAACACGUGAGUAACCUGCCCUUAACUUUGGGAUAACUUCAGGAAACUGGGGCUAAUACCGGAUAUGAGCUCCUGCUGCAUGGGGGGGGUUGGAAAGUUUCGGCGGUUGGGGCUGGACUCGCGGCUUAUCAGCUUGUUGGUGGGGUAGUGGCUUACCAAGGCUUUGACGGGUAGCCGGCCUGGGAGGGUGGCCGGCGACCUUGGGACUGCGGUACGGCCCAGACGCGUACGGGAGGCAGCAGGCGGGAACAUUGCACAGUGGGCCGAAGCCUGAUGCAGCGACGCCGCGUGCGUGAUGCCGGCUUUCGGGUUGUGAACCGCUGUCGCCUGUGCCGAAGCGGGAGUGACGGUACUGGGUAAAGAAGCACCGGCUAACUACGUG
rnacentral:rRNA from 1 species